rnacentral:rRNA from 1 species
CUACGGAGGAUGCAAGCGUUAUCCGGAUUUAUUGGGUUUAAAGGGUGCGUAGGCGGUUUGCUAAGCGGGAGGUGAAAUGCCGGCGCUCAACGUCGGAAGUGCCUCCCGAACUGGUGGACUGGAAUGACUCUGCCGUGGGAGGAAUGUGUAGUGUAGCGGUGAAAUGCUUAGAGAUUACACAGAACACCGAUUGCGAAGGCAUCUCACGAAGGGUUGAUUGACGCUGAGGCACGAAAGCGUGGGGAUCAAACAGGAUUAGAUACCCUGGUAGUCCACGCAGUAAACGAUGAUGGCUAACCGCUGGUUUAUUCGGAUCAGUGGCCAAGCGAAAGCGAUAAGCCAUCCACCUGGGGAGUACGACCGCAAGGUUGAAACUCAAAUGAAUUGACGGGG